CUUUCCACACGAUACCGUUCUACGGAAAC
rfam:Thermococcus celer strain Vu 13, complete genome.